rnacentral:rRNA from 1 species
ACGAACGCUGGUGGGGUGCCUUAUACAUGCGAGUCGAACGAGCUCUCCCGAUUGAUUUUAUGCUUGCAUAAAUGAUUUUUGGAUUCGGAGCGAGUGGCGAACUGGUGAGUAACACGUGGGUAACCUGCCCCGAAGCGGGGGAUAACAUUUGGAAACAAGUGCUAAUACCGCAUAAUUAGUUGGAACCGCAUGGUUCCAACUUGAAAGAUGGCUCUGCUAUCACUUUGGGAUGGACCCGCGCCGUAUUAGUUAGUUGGUUAGAUAAAAGCCCACCAAGACGAUGAUACGUAGCCGACCUGAGAGGGUAAUCGGCCACAUUGGGACUGAGACACGGCCCAGACUCCUACGGGAGGCAGCAGUAGGGAAUCUUCCACAAUGGACGAAAGUCUGAUGGAGCAACGCCGCGUGAGUGAUGAAGGUUUUCGGAUCGUAAAACUCUGUUGUUAAAGAAGAACAAGUGUUAGAGUAACUGUUAACACUUUGACGGUAUUUAACCAGAAAGCCACGGCUAACUACGUGCCAGCAGCCGCGGUAAUACGUAGGUGGCAAGCGUUGUCCGGAUUUAUUGGGCGUAAAGCGAGCGCAGGCGGUUUUGUAAGUCUGCUGUGAAAGCCCUCAGCUCAACUGAGGAAGUGCAGUGGAAACUACAAAACUUGAGUACAGAAGAGGAAAGUGGAACUCCAUGUGUAGCGGUGAAAUGCGUAGAUAUAUGGAAGAACACCAGUGGCGAAGGCGGCUUUCUGGUCUGUUACUGACGCUGAGGCUCGAAAGCAUGGGUAGCGAACAGGAUUAGAUACCCCUGGUAGUCCAUGCCGUAAACGAUGAAUACUAGGUGUUGGAGGGUUUCCGCCCUUCAGUGCCGCAGCUAACGCAUUAAGUAUUCCGCCUGGGGAGUACGACCGCAAGGUUGAAACUCAAAGGAAUUGACGGGGGCCCGCACAAGUGGUGGAGCAUGUGGUUUAAUUCGAUGCUACGCGAAGAACCUUACCAGCUCUUGACAUCUUCUGCCAACCCAAGAGAUUGGGCGUUCCCUUCGGGGACAGAAUGACAGGUGGUGCAUGGUUGUCGUCAGCUCGUGUCGUGAGAUGUUGGGUUAAGUCCCGCAACGAGCGCAACCCUUAUUAUUAGUUGCCAGCAUUUAGUUGGGCACUCUAGUGAGACUGCCGGUGAUAAACCGGAGGAAGGUGGGGACGACGUCAAAUCAUCAUGCCCCUUAUGAGCUGGGCUACACACGUGCUACAAUGGAUGGUACAACGAGUCGCGAAACCGCGAGGUCAAGCUAAUCUCUUAAAGCCAUUCUCAGUUCGGAUUGCAGGCUGCAACUCGCCUGCAUGAAGUUGGAAUCACUAGUAAUCGUGGAUCAGCAUGCCACGGUGAAUACGUUCCCGGGCCUUGUACUCACCGCCCGU